rnacentral:pre_miRNA from 1 species
UUGAGAGGCGUUUUGCUCAAGACCGCGCAACGAUUCCAUAUGACACCGCAUCGUUGUCCAUGCCUAUCAUGUUCAUCCAGAGCCCCUGUUGAUCUUCAGAUAAGAGAAAAGCUCAAAAUUAAAGAAGGCUUGUUUAUUGAUCAUGUCAAGGAUAGGUAUCGACGGCGAUGCGCUGGCUAUGGCCAUGGUUGUGCGGUUCUUGCGCAAUAACGUUUUGAUCUCGA